GUCGGAAAAAACGGUUAACGUUAA
rnacentral:snRNA from 1 species